CCGUGAGGGAAAGUUGAAAAGAACUUUGAAGAGAGAGUUCAAGAGUACGUGAAACCGUUUAGAGGUAAACGGAUGGGACCGUUAUGUUCCCUGGUGGGAUUCAACCUUUCGCUCGGUCGUCGGCGUCUUGUUCAGAUCUUCACGGACUGGCUGGGCGUCGAGCGGUCGUCGGGGGGCGCACUUUCCACAGGACUGUGGCCAGGACAGGCUCUCGGGCGGCCAGAAGCUCGCGUUGCAAGGUAGCUGUCCUCGGGCAGUGCUUAGGCGGCGCGAGUGGGCAGCGCUCGGGGGCCGAGGAACGGACCGCCGCUCCGGGAACGCGUUCGUCACGUGUCGAGUUAUACUGGUGUGGACUGUUCACAGUGCUCGCCGACCGCUCGGUGCGUUGUGCGGGCGUCCACUCCCGGAAGCCCAGGGUCUCUGGUCGUUUUCGUCGGCAUCCCAUCCGACCCGUCUUGAAACACGGACCAAGGAGUCUAACAUGUGUGCGAGUCACUGGGUGGCAAACCCACGGGCGUAAUGAAAGUGAAGGUCGGCUCUGUCGGCUCAGGUGAGACCCCGGCAACGGGCGCAUCACCGGCCCGUCUCGAUCCCAUUGUCGGAUGAGGCGGUGCAAGAGCAUACACGUUGGGACCCGAAA
rnacentral:rRNA from 1 species